rfam:Nomascus leucogenys chromosome 10, whole genome shotgun sequence.
GCUGGGCGCGACGGCUCUCGCCUGUAAUCCCAGCACUUUGGGAGGCCGAGGUGGGCGGAUCACCUGAGGUCAGGAGUUCAAGACCAGCCUGGCCAACAUGGUGAAACCCCAUCUCUA